rnacentral:rRNA from 1 species
UACGUAGGGUGCGAGCGUUGUCCGGAAUUAUUGGGCGUAAAGAGCUCGUAGGCGGUCUGUCGCGUCGAAUGUGAAAACCCGGGGCUCAACCCCGGGCCUGCAUUCGAUACGGGCAGACUAGAGUUCGGUAGGGGAGUCUGGAAUUCCUGGUGUAGCGGUGAAAUGCGCAGAUAUCAGGAGGAACACCGGUGGCGAAGGCGGGACUCUGGGCCGAUACUGACGCUGAGGAGCGAAAGCGUGGGGGAGCGAACAGG